GCGGGCGGAGCAAGACGGUACUGCAUUGGCCUUCCAAGCCGACAUUUGCCGGUUCGAAUCCGGUCGCCCGCUCCA
rnacentral:tRNA from 1 species